GGUGGCAGCACUGUGGGAGGUGCUCCUGCCUGGAACCCACCCCCCUGCCUGGCCCACUGAGGGAAGAGGCUGAAAACUCAGAUCCUCAGCGGCCUGAAGGAUGGCAUCACUGUACCAGGUCCUCCCGUUCCCUGAGCUUUGGCUUAGAGAUGCUGAUUUGAUAAUUUGUUGGUGGUAAAUGGGGCAUGGGAAGAAAAUAUGACAUCAGAUCCUGUAUUUAUCUUUCUUUUUCAUUAAAAAAAUAAAAACUAGGAUUUACUAAUAUUUAAUGUAUAUGGAUUGAUAGAUGCAUGUGUAUAUACUUUAUAAAGAAACAUGCCUAUAUUCUGGGUGUCCACCUAAAUAUCUUUUUACUGAUAAGGAACUUUUUUUUUUUUUGGCUCACCUUGCAGCUCGUGGGAUCUCAGUUCCCCAACCAGGGAUCAAGCCCGGGCCGUCAGCAGUGAGAGCGUGGAGGCUUAACCACUGGGCCACCAGGGAAUUCCCAGUAACAUGUUUUUUAAGAGUUUAGAGACAAGGGAUGUAGUGUUGAUGUGAUUAAUAUCAUGGGAGAGGUUUGGUUAAGUGCAGAGGAAGCCCAGAAGAGGGGCCCUAUUGGGGGUCCUAGAGGCUUCCUGAAACCUGAUCUAAAACUUGAAACUCAAAAAGGUGAGGGGAGUUCUGCAGCCAAAAAAAAAAAAGAAAAGAAAAGAAAAAAGGAAAAAAAAAAGUGGGAUGGGCUAUACCUGGAAAGGGAACAGCAAGAUAGAGACCUAGAGGUUGGAAACAGGCAGAUGUAUUCAAAGGUCUAGGACUAGGAGGGAGGCAGCUGUGUCAGGCAUGGGUCAGUCCUGAGCCCAAGCUCUAAGCUCUGCCGCUUAAGAGGUGAAUAUCCUUGGGUGACAGAUUUAACCUCUCUGGGCCUCCAUUUCCUCACUUAUAAAGUGGGUUUGAUAAAGCACUGACCUAGUAGGGAUGUUGUGCAGAUUAAGUGAGAUGACAGAUGGAAAGUUGCAAACAGUGAGCGCUCAAAAAUUGGUAAUUAUGUGCUCCUUUUCAGAGCACUUCAGCUUCAUCUCUGUCUCCUCAGCACUUACAGCACAACUUGACACAUGAUUGGGGUUCAUUUUUUUCAUGAAUGAAUUAAUGAGCACAGUUUUUCUUUUUUUUCGCUGUGCGGCUUGCAGGAUCUUAGUUCCUGGAGAAGGGAUUGAACCUGGCCCUCGACAGUGAAAGCGCUGAGUCCUAACCACUGGACUACCAGGGAAUUCCUUAUUUCAUGUGAUUUUCACUAGACAAGAGUCCAAUGAGAUAGGCGAGGUAGACAUUAUUAUCUCCAUUUUAUAGGUGGAGAAACUGAGGCCCAGGGAGGUGAAGUGACCUGCUCAGUAUCAGCCAGAUGAAAACCAGCUCUGUCUCCUGUCAGAGCUUUUGUUCUUAACCCUUUUAUAUUUUAUACAGUCGAAACGAUUAGAGAUGGAAUUUGAAUGAAACAGUCUUUUUGUCUUUCGCCACUUCCUUGGUCCACCUGAUUCAGAUGCGCCAUAAUUAAUCUUCCUAAAAUACCACUUCUUCUGUUGACACCUUUGCUCAAAAAUUGUCAUUGGGUCCCUACGAUCAAGUUUAAAUGUGCUGAGUUGGCAUUCAAGGUUCUCCCUGAUCUGGCCCCAAUCUGCCUUUCUAACUACAGGGCUGUCUCAUACCCUACUCUCCAUCCAGCCCCAUAGGUUUACUUAUUUCCUUUAUACUUUCUCUCCUUCAUGCCUUUGUUCAAGCUGUUCCCUCCUGGAAUCCCUAUUCCAUGAAACCCAUCCAACCCUAAAUAGCCCUCAAGUCCCAACCUCCAAGAUUCUUUGGUCCUCAUCUGACUCUGAAUGUGUAAUAAUCAUAAUAGCAUUUAUUGACCACCUACCGUGCAUGAGGCCCUUGUUCCCAUUCUCUCUCCACCCUCAUGAUGAUAUUUAUAAGGCAGACACUAAAACCCUGAUAUGAAAGGUAAGGAAACUCACAGGUGAGAGUCAGUCAACAAGUAUUUCCUGGGCACUGACUCUGUGCCAAACAGUACUGGUUAUACAGUAAUGGACAAAAAGUUGUGGUCCCUGCCCUCAUGGAGCUUCCAUUCUUGUGAGAAAGACAGAUGGUAAAGCCAUAAAUAAACAAAUUAGUUAUAAUGCUCUCAUUAUUAUUAAUUGUAAUAAAUUCCAAGAAGGGAAAGAACUGGGUUCCAUGAGAAUAGCGGGGCUGGGUGGGGGGCAGUCUGGAUAUAGAGAACAGAUGAGGCUGUCUGAGAAGUGAAACCUUAAACUGAGACCUGAAGGAUUUCAAAGACUGGGAAGGAGAAUGUUCCAGGUAAAAGGCACAGCUUAUGCCAAAUGUUUCCAAGCAGCAAAGAACUCGGCACCAUGGAGCAGUGGGGUCCCCUCGACCAGGACAAGAGCGACCCUGCCUAAGAACCGCCCUUCAGAGGGUUCUGGAGAAUGUCCACCCCCAAACAAAUCCAUGCCAAGAAGCAGAGGGUGCCUGGCGCUCAGCAGGCUGUAAACGUAAACAUCCUCGUUCUAACACUGCUCAGGCCCCAGGGAACACUGCUCCACAUCUCUUGCCCACUGUUCUCAGAACAAAGAUUCCUGCACCGGCCUGUGGGAGGCGUGUCGGCUGAGCUUCGGCCAAUGCCAGAGAUGGACCCUGCUUUGGAGCUGCGGGGAAGAUUUGAGCAGCAGAAGCUUUUAAGUGAAAGAAAAGUGCUCAGGGGAAGAGAUGUGGACUCCUUGCACCCCUGGUGGAGCACCGCCCCGGCACUUGUUCAGAGUCCAUUUGUGUCUCCAGUGUGGUGCUCACGUGUGGCAGAGAGGUGCAGUCACUUGCCCAAGGACACAGCCAGUACGCAGCAGAACGCGGGGCCCCACAUCCUCAGGCCUCGCUCCAGAGUGGGUGCUGGCGCGCCUGGGAGCACACCUUCCACUAUCCUCCCUGCGGUAGAACCUGGACUUCUGCUCCAGGCUUGGACUGUCACGUGGCACUCUCGCCCUCCACUGCAUCUGUGAGGCUGGCGGAAGCGGAACACCUCGGUUCAGAUCGCUUAUGGGAAGUUUGCCAUUACCCCCAGAGCCCCAAGAAACACAAAACAGAAUGGGUGGCGACAGGAACCUACCCGCUGCGAGAGGGUCAGCCAGGCUGAAGGAGAGGACCACUGGGAAUAACGCAAAGAUUUUCGAGAACUUUUUUGAGUACUAGGAUACAAAAAGUCGGAAAAAAAAGAUAAGACAAUCUAUACCCAGCCCUGGAGGGUUGAUAGUGGUGAAGCAUGAGAAGGUGUGUGAUUUUCUUCAUCUUUUGAAUGAUUUUAUGAAUAAAUAUUAUACGGAAUUUGAUGAGUAUUGUCAGAUCACCUCUCUCCUCAAAAAGGAUUGUACUAAUAAUGUAUGGAUGUACUUUUUUCCCAAUAACUUCACCAAUUUUGGGUUUUAUUAUUUUACUUUUUUUCCUGUUUAAUGGGUGAGAGAUAGUACUUCAUUAUUAUUUAAAUUUGCAUUACCGCUUGUUAGACUUAAAGUCGAAGAUCCAGAAUUGACCAGUGUCAUUGAUAGCCUCAGAAUGAUUUUCCUCAAAAUGUUAAUUCUUGGGGAAUUCCCUGGCAGUCCAGUGGUUAGGACUCUGUGCUUCCACUGUAGGGUGCCUGGGUUCGAUCCCUGAUCUGGGAGCUAAGAUCCCCACAAGCCACACAC